UACGUAGGGUCCAAGCGUUAUCCGGAAUCACUGGGCGUAAAGCGUGCGUAGGUGGAUGUUUAAGUGUGAUGUUAAAUCGUGUGGCUCAACCAUAUCGAUGCAUCGCAUACUGGACGUCUAGAGGACAGCAGAGGCAAGUGGAAUUUGUAGUGUAGCAGUGAAAUGCGUAGAUAUCUGGAGGAACACCGGUGGCGAAGGCGGCGUUCUGGACUGUUUCUGACACUGAAAAACGAAAGCCAGGGGAGCAAACGGG
rnacentral:rRNA from 1 species